UUUUCCUAUGAAGACAAAAAAUAAGGUUGCGGUGCAAGGUGCAGAGGUCCCCUGCAGCGUGUGGAGGUGGUUGGCCUUGGCCAGGUCAAGUUGUCGAUGCCGGUGACCUCUCUAUAUCCACUCUGUAGAGUUGGUGUUCCUCAUUUCCUUAUCUGAAAAUUCAUUUAGAAUAAGGCCACUUGCGCAUCCAGUUUUAUGAAGGAUUGUCAAGCUAAAAAUAAAGGAUGGAGGCCAUGGAUAUCUCUACUAAAAGUAUUGCAUGGCGUCAUGAUAUCCUCCUCUUCUUGUUUGGCCCCG